rnacentral:rRNA from 1 species
UACAGAGGGGGCAAGCGUUGUUCGGAAUUACUGGGCGUAAAGGGCGCGUAGGCGGCCUGUUAAGUCGAACGUGAAAUCCCCGGGCUCAACCCGGGAACUGCGUCCGAUACUGGCAGGCUUGAAUCCGGGAGAGGGAUGUGGAAUUCCAGGUGUAGCGGUGAAAUGCGUAGAUAUCAGGAGGAACACCGGUGGCGAAGGCGGCUCUCUGGGCUUGUUCUGACGCUGAGGAGCGAAAGCGUGGGGAGCGAACAGG